rnacentral:rRNA from 1 species
UGGGGAAUCUUGCGCAAUGCGCGAAAGCGUGACGCAGCAACGCCGCGUGGGGGAAGAAGGCCUUCGGGUUGUAAACCCCUUUCAGUUGGGACGAAGCUUCGUCGGUGAAUAGCCGGCCGAAGUGACGGUACCUUCAGAAGAAGCCCCGGCUAACUACGUGCCAGCAGCCGCGGUAAUACGUAGGGGGCUAGCGUUGUCCGGAAUCAUUGGGCGUAAGAG